GUACUAUAGCUUUGAUUAUUUGAAAUAUCUUCAAUUUUUCACUUAUUCUUACUACAUUUGUAUAAACUUCAAGAUUAUAAUUAUUUUUUUAAAACCGUUUUUUUUCUAAAGUGAAUAUUGAUUGGUUAAAUAUUUCUCAGUCAUGUCCUGCCAUGGCUUUGUUUGAAUUUGUUUGUUAGCUUUUUGGUCAUGAAUGUUUGUCUUUAAUAUUUAAUUAACUGUGCAUUUGUAUUCAGAUAUCGCAGAUCAAAUUUAUUCGUUCAUUGUGUAAUCAUACGUUUUUUGAUUGAGUUAAGUCUGCCAAUUGAUAUUUUAUCGUGUGUUUUUCUAUGUUGUGAUGUUAUGCUAUUGUUUCAGAAAAAGGGAGAAGGUU
rnacentral:lncRNA from 1 species